AAGGUUUUAAGUUAAGCAAACUAAUAGCCUUCAAAGCUAUAAAUAAAAUUUAUCUUUUUUUAAACCUUA
rnacentral:tRNA from 1 species